rnacentral:lncRNA from 1 species
CCUCCCCUCUGCUUUCUCCUCAUGCUUCAUGUGCCUCCCCUUAUAUACGUGCACACUGACCUCCAACUAUGUUGACAACAUCAUCAAGAAAUUCCUCCACCAUGUCUUAUGCUUUCUUCUCUGCUCUGGUCAAAGUCCAGGCUCCUGCAGGCUCUUGGUUCAUCCCCUUGACCUUUCAUAUUCUCGGUUCCACUCUUAACAAAGAGGCCCUAAUAUGUUUUUUGGGUUAUGGCCCUUAAUGUGUUCCCUCAACCUUGCUUGUUAUCUGCCCAGACAGUGACCCUUCCUUUCCUCCCCUCCUCCACUGCCCUUCCUCCUCCUCUUCCUUCUCAACAUCAACAAGCUUCCUUGAGAGCCUACUGUGUGUAGAGUGUGUUCCUUCCACCCGUAAGGCAGAGAUCUGGAGCCUGACUGCGCGGGUUGUAAUUCUGGCUCCACCUCUUCCUAGCUGGGUGACCUCAAGCAAAUUUCUUAGCUUCUCUGUGCCAUAUUUCCCCAUCUACAAGAUGAGGUUAAUAAUGGUAUUAACACCUGCUUCACAGGACUGUUGAGAGGAUUGAUUUGGUAUGAGAAGGGUGCUUAGAACAGUCCUGACAUAUAGUCAGUACUAUAAAAGUGAGAGUUCUGCUUCUCACUUUAUUAUGCUUCUGACUCUAGGAAUUCAGAAUUCUCAAGUAUAGAGGAAGAUAAUUAUCAGCAACAAAGCAGCCCCUGUAUGCUGAGGGUCUUAUAUGUGGUGUCUCAAUUAAAACAAAACAAAACAAAAAACCUUGUGAGAUGGAACUGUCACCACAUAUGUUUCCUGAACAAGGCAACAAGGCUUUAGGUGGCUGAAGUGACUCGCAAGAGACCUCACCACCCGUAACGGGGAAGAUUCAGGAGUUGAACUCAGAUUUAGUUGAUUCAAAAGCUGUGCCUUUUCCAAGACACUGUGCUGUUUCUUUAAUUUGUGGAUCAAGAGUUUAGGAUUUGGAGUUAGCAAUUCAAAGAUAUGAGGUCUCAGAGUGCUGGUGCUUUGGGUGUCCUCUUACCUUGACUGAGAGCAGUUGGAAUAUGAAUAGCUUGUUUUCAGAGUGGUUAGAGUGUGUGACAUGGGAUUGCAGCCUCCCUGCCAUAUAUCCCCACUCUCUGCCUUCUGAAAUCAGUGCUGGCCUCACAGUAUGAUUUGGGGGUUUCCGGAGGGUGAGGGUCAGGUGAGUACUGGAGGACAGCAAGAGUCACCAAAUUAAUGCCUUGCCUGAGGUCAGGAAGUCCAGGGCCACCUGGAGAUGAAUUAUCUGGUUAAGAGGCCAUGACCAGGUAGAUCAAUGGAGACAGAGGGUUUUGCCACUUAUCGCCCUGCAUUUAAAGAGCUGUACUGCUGGGGCUCAUGAGGACUGUUGCCUUUCUCCAGUAGUGCCCCCGCCCUGGACCACUGAGUCCUCAGGGAGCCUAACUGGGAGACCUAAGAACUGAGGGCUUCCCUAGGAAGCAGACUCUGAGAUAGAGAUUAAUACACAGGGUGUUAUCAGGAAACUCUUGGGGUCAAAACAUUUGGCGGGAGAGGAAGGAAUCAGGACUGGGCAGAGGCCAACCCUUUGGGCCACUCUGGGAAUAGAGUGGCCCUUGAACUUUUCCCCAAGUUGGGGCCAGAUUUUCUGCCCUUUUCUAUCUUUUCUACCCUUGGGUCAUGGAAUACAAGUAGUCCCGGAAGUGGGUGUGACCUUAGGCUGGGCUGCUCUCCUCAACUGAGGCCAAUUCCCCCAUGAUAACAGAAAGCUGAGGACUGUCUGCAGCACUCCCAGCAACUGGGGUAAGUCCUUCACUGAAGGGGAUCGGGCAGCACAUUACAGUGUCCGCCAAGUCACCUCCCUGAGCUGGGGAGGACAGAGCACUCACACAAUGAAGGAAGGCUUCCAUGUAUGAGACAGUGCCUGGGCUUUGAGAAGUGUAAGUAGGCAAAAAAAAAAAAAAAAAAGUCAGGAAGGGGAACAAGUAGGCAAAGGGGAGUUUCUAGUUGAAAGAACAGCAUGUACUAAAACCCAAAGACAAAGUGGACACAUGAGAGGUAGGCAGGACUCAGAUCUGAAGCUCUGCACUGCUGUGCUAAAGAAUUUGAGUUUUUGAGGACUUCUCUGGUUGUCCAGUGGUUAAGACUCCAUGCUUCCAACGCAGAGGCACAAGUUCGAUCUUUGGUCAGGGAACUAAGAUCCCACAUGCCGUGCAGUACAAGUGGUGGUGGAGGGCAGGGGGAAGAAUUUGAGUCUGUGUAUUAAGGAGGUGGGAGCCUUUAAGGACUUUAGGACAGCGUGUGGCAUAAUUAAAAUUCACACUUUAGAAUAAUCUUGACAUGCCACUUACUAGCUAUGUUCCUAAAAAGUGACCUAACCUCUCUGUGCCUCAAUUCCCUCCUCUGUAGAAUGGGGCAAUGGUAGUGCCUGCCACUUGGAGUUAUUGUACGAAUGCAGUGAGAUAGUAUGGAUAGAACUGGGAUGUGGCAACCCUUGGUGAAGAUUAGCUGUUGUUAUUAGCUAUUAUAGGCUAGAUUGGGAUGGGCAGAGACCCGUAGAAAGAGCAAUGAGAUGGCCGUGGAUGGAACUGUGAUGGAGCUUGGGAGUGAGACAGAAGAGAUCUCAGCGAAGCAGAAGAAAGAAAGAGGUGCUGAUGUCAGGAAAGCCAAGGGAGGAAAGAGACCCCCAAGGAACAGCCAACACAGCUCAUUGUCACAGAGAAAGCAUUAGCAAUCAAAGUGGCAGAGUCUAUGGUGAGGGGUUCCUGUGAUAUACCCUGAGGAAAGCAUAUCAUCAGAGUGGUGGGUGGAAGGUAAGUUGUGGUAGUUUGAAGAGUAAAGAUGAAGCUGAGGGUUGUAUAUCUCUGAAUGAACAGACAUAUGGAUGGAGAGAUUCACCAAGGUCCAUGCUGAGGCCAUCCAAAUACAGUCUUUCCAGAUGACCUAAGCUUGUGCCCUCCUCUCAUGUUUCCCACCAUAGACUGUAUCUAUCAUAGUCAUCUCUAUUCCUUCCUAUGUGUCUACUGGACCAGAAGCUCCUUCAAGCUAGGAUCCUCAGCCAUGUCUGGGUCCUUCUCUGUACCAGAUGAAUGGUACUGACUACAGGGGCAGGAAAUCAGCAGCUCCUUUUGGAGAGAAUGAACCAUCUGAGGUGAGACCAGGAAACAAUUUUCCUGGUUUGUAGACUGGUCAGUCAGCAGAGAAGUAGUGAAACUAUGUCCUGAAGGAAGAUGUGUGAGGGCAAGAGGGUUAGCUAAGUAUACAGGGAGGCAUGAAUCAAGGGAUUUAGAGAAAAAUAAAUAUAACUGACCUUUGAGCAGAAAUUCUUAGCCUUUUUAGAUCCUAGAUCCCUUGCAGAUGCAAUGUAAAUAAUGAACACUUGCCCCAAGAAGAACAUGUGUCACACACUCAUAUUCAGUCUACAUGUGAUUUCAGGAGUUUGAUAGCCACUGACGCUCAUCUGUGAACCUGUCCAGUGGUCCCAUGGGUUUCAAGUCAAGAAAGUGCUUCCAAAUGAAGUCCUAUGACCUGGGGUAUAUCACUCACCCACUUUUGGCUUCAGUUUCUUUAUCUGUAAGAUGAGGAAUCAUGAGAUGGAGACCAUAGAAAUGAACAACUUUGCAAGUCAUCUGAAGCAGGUAUUUUAUUAUACAGACCCACAAGUAUUCUACCUGAUUAGUAGGUAGAAUUAUCUCCAUUUUGAAAACAGGGAAAUGGAGACUUGGUUCAAGAAACUUGACCAAAUUGACACAUGAGUAAGUGAAGGAGCUAGAGAAUCUACCCAGAUCUGUCCAGCUCUAAAUCCUGGGCUCUUCCCUGUAAACUGAGCUGCCUACCAGGGAUAGUACUAUUGAUGUCUGUCUGCUCAUCCCUGGCAUGGUUAAUGCACGGAAAAUACGUGAAAAUUAUUUAGAAACUGAAUAGCACUUUUGCAAAUAUAAGAUACCACAUUGAUAUCCUCAUUACUGAUCACCCUGUAUCUAAAUCCCUUCCUUGGCAUCUGUUAGUUCUUCCUCCAACCUCAGGCAGCUUCUUCCUUGCUUCUGUCACCUGUUCUUUCUUUCCCUCCCACUUCCUGAAGGUAGGUUUCUUUAGUCCCUCUUGCUUUCUUUUCUUUACUUUCUAAAUCCUGUCAUCCUACAGCUUCAGCUGUGACCUCCAAGUAGUGAAGUGAAGUGAAAGUCACUCAGCCAUGUCUGAUUCUUUGUGACCCCAUGGACUAUACAGUUCAUGGAAUUCUCCAGGCCAGAAUACUGGAG